GUGGUAGCCUAGCUACACUUAUCUGAUCAGGGACAAGUGAUAAGUGAUCAUACGUAAGACCAUAGUUAUACUAUGGCAAAGUGGAAGUGAAGUACUCAAUUUUCCGUAACCGUUCCCUAAUUUGAUUAAGGAUGGUAAGUGACAAAUUGACCCAAAAGAAUUAUAGUAAAUGGAUAAGUGGUAGUGAGUUUAUACAAGGGGACCCACCAAUGAUUGUGGUUGACAGGUGAACUUAGUAAAUGUGUUAAUGAAUGGUAUAAUCGAUAAACGUUGAAUUAAAUGGUAAAUACGUAUUAGUGUUGAACUUAAUGACAUUGAAUUGUACGUGAAUUAAAUGGAAAGUGCUAAUGAUAUGAUUUAAAUUGUGAGCAUGAGAAAUUGCGAAUUGAAUGAAAUGGAAAUGAAACAUUGAGUUGCAUGAGUAUGUAUCGGGUCUCGUAGGACCUAAUUAUUAUGAUUAGAAUAUUUUGAGGAUAUAUUGUGAAAAGUUAUAGAAGCAUGUUAAUAAUUUUGAAAGUUUUAAUUUAGAUGAAAUUUUAUAACUCAGUUAAAUACGUUAACAAGUGUAUGUGUUCUGG
rnacentral:lncRNA from 1 species